rnacentral:rRNA from 1 species
GAUGAACGCUGGCGGCGUGCCUAAUACAUGCAAGUCGAGCGAACAGACGAUGAUCUUGCUCCUUGCACGUUAGCCGCGGACGUGUGAGUAACACGUAUGUACCCUACCUAUCUUACUGGUAUAACUUCGGGAAACCGGAUCUAAUACCGUAUAAUAUUUCGAACCGCAGGGUUCGAUAGUGAAAUAUGGCUUUGCUAUCACUUAUAGAUGGACCUGCGCCGGAUUGGCUAGUUGGUAAGGUAACGGCUUAUCAAGGCAACGAUACGUAGCCGACCUGAGAGGGUGAUCGGCCACACUGGAACUGAGACACGGUCCAGAGUCCUACGGGAGGCAGCAGUAGGGAAUCGUCCGCAAUGGGCGAAAGCCUGACGGAGCAACGCCGAGUGAGUGAUGAAGAUCUUCGGAUCGUAAAACUCUGUUAUUAGGGAAGAACAAACGUGUAAGUAACUGUGCACGUCUUGACGGUACCUAAUCAGAAAGCCACGGCUAACUACGUG